AACCGGAGGAAGGUGGGGAUGACGUCAAGUCCUCAUGGCCCUUAUAGGUGGGGCUACACACGUCAUACAAUGGCUGGUACAAAGGGUUGCCAACCCGCGAGGGGGAGCCAAUCCCAUAAAGCCAGUCGUAGUCCGGAUCGUAGUCUGCAACUCGACUACGUGAAGUCGGAAUCGCUAGUAAUCGUGGAUCAGAAUGUCACGGUGAAUACGUUCCCGGGUCUU
rnacentral:rRNA from 1 species